rnacentral:ncRNA from 1 species
GUGUCGAAAGACCUAACAGAGAAGCCGGAGGAGCCGGCGCGGUCCCGCCACUGUAAAGGGAGCAAUGCUGCAUAAGUGAUGUCACUGGGGAAACCUGGGAAGGCGCAGCAAAGCCAUGAACUUAAGCCAGGAGAACUGCCUGUUCGA